rnacentral:rRNA from 1 species
UACGAAGGGGGCUAGCGUUGUUCGGAUUUACUGGGCGUAAAGCGCACGUAGGCGGAUCUUUAAGUCAGAGGUGAAAUCCCAAGGCUCAACCUUGGAACUGCCUUUGAUACUGGGGAUCUUGAGUCCGGGAGAGGUGAGUGGAACUGCGAGUGUAGAGGUGAAAUUCGUAGAUAUUCGGAAGAACACCAGUGGCGAAGGCGACUCACUGGACACGUAUUGACGCUGAGGUGCGAAAGCGUGGGGAGCAAACAGG